rnacentral:misc_RNA from 1 species
GGAGGUUUCCGAUCAAAUGAUUCUAAGCCUUUGAAUAGCUUAAUAAGAUCCUCAAGCAUAUGAUUACGAUAAUAUACAGAAAUCAUAAGACUACAUAGCCGCCACGGCACAGAAUGCAGAUCAGAACCGAUUUUCUUGUUCCAAAAUUCAUGUGCCUCUUUUGCUCUGUGAUCCAUAUCCAGUGCUUUAAUUAACUGCUCAUAUGUCCCCAUUGUAUUUCCCUGACCCUUGCUUAACAUCCACUUAAUAACCUGAACAAUUCUAUGCCAUUGUUGCUCUUUCUCUAGUUUGAGCAAUACCUGCUUUAGGGAUCCAAUGGGGAAAUUCCGCUCCCAUGCAACCCAAGCAUCAAGUGCACCAUAUACAGCUUCCUUACUGUCCUCUAGAUCAAGAAGUGUAUUUACAAGAAAGCUAACCUUGUCCUUCCUUGAGACAUUUUCUCCUACUUGGGGCUUGGAGUUGCCUCCAAUGGGUUUUCCUGCAAGGGAAGAGAGAGAUUUAUAGCCAAAUCGAUCACCUAAGGACCCUGUUGUCUCUGCAUCACCCCUGUUGGAGAUUGAAUGCCACACAUCUGUACUGUAACUGCAAGUGAGGACGGAACUUCUAUUCACUGUAAGCUGACUAAUUUGUCUAGCCAGCCUUGUAAUUAUUGCUAAUUUGGACAUCAUAUGUACCCUGUUGAUCGCCGGCAACCGGCGGUGGACUGAAG